rnacentral:tRNA from 1 species
GUUUUAAUAAUUUAAAAUAAAAUAUUGAUUUUGUAAAUCAAACUUGGGAUAUUCCCUUAAAACA